rnacentral:pre_miRNA from 1 species
AACAACAUCCUGGUGCUGCCUGAGUGAUUCUCACCAACUCCAGCAUCAGUGAUUUUGUUG